rnacentral:rRNA from 1 species
GAAAUCAGUUAAAACUUUCAACAACGGAUCUCUUGGUUCCGGCAUCGAUGAAGAACGCAGCGAAAUGCGAUAAGUAAUGUGAAUUGCAGAAUUCCGUGAAUCAUCGAAUCUUUGAACGCA